rnacentral:sRNA from 1 species
CGAGAGAACGUUGCGUCAGCAACGGCCCGUAGGGCGAGCCACGAAGUGGUGAGUCAUCCUCUAUCACCGACCA